AAUCAACGCUGGCGGCGUGCCUCAGACAUGCAAGUCGAACGAUUAAACUUUCCUUCGGGAAAGAUAUAAAGUGGCGCACGGGUGAGUAACACGUAAGUAAUCUACCUUCGAGUGGGGAAUAACGUCCGGAAACGGACGCUAAUACCGCAUAAUGCAGCGGCACCUAAUGGUGACAGUUGUUAAAGAUUUAUCGCUUGAAGAGGAGCUUGCGGCAGAUUAGCUAGUUGGUAAGGUAAUGGCUUACCAAGGCUACGAUCUGUAACCGGUCUAAGAGGACGGUCGGUCACACUGACACUGAAUAACGGGUCAGACUCCUACGGGAGGCAGCAGUCGGGAAUUUUGGGCAAUGGGCGAAAGCCUGACCCAGCAACGCCGCGUGAAGGAUGAAGUAUUUCGGUAUGUAAACUUCGAAAGAAUGGGAAGAAUCAAUGACGGUACCAUUUAUAAGGUCCGGCUAACUACGUGCCAGCCGCCGCGGUAAAAC
rnacentral:rRNA from 1 species